UUGAAGCCGAGGGGCUCUGCGGAAACGACAGAUCUGCGCCGAUCCGAAACGCUAGCAAACAGCCCGCAUCAUGUCGUCUCCUAACUUCGACGUGGUGAAAUACUGAGCUUAUGCGAGUAAGCCUGUUAGCAGUAGCAAA
rnacentral:sRNA from 12 species